rnacentral:rRNA from 1 species
UCCGAAGGGAGCUAUCGUUGCUCGGAUUUACUGGGCGUAAAGCGCGUGUAGGCGGUUUGAUAAGUUAGGCGUGAAAGCCCAGGGCUUAACCCUGGAAUUGCGCUUAAUACUGUCAAGCUAGAGUAUGGUAGAGGGUGGUGGAAUUCCCAGUGUAGAGGUGAAAUUCGUAGAUAUUGGGAGGAACACCGAUGGCGAAAGCAGCCACCUGGGCCAUAACUGACGCUAAGACGCGAAAGCGUGGGGAUAAAACAGG